rnacentral:rRNA from 1 species
CCAAUAGCGUAUAUUAAAGUUGUUGCAGUUAAAAAGCUCGUAGUUGAAUUUCGGGAUCAAUUCGUCGGUCGUGCUUUUUGGUACGUACUGGCGUUAUUGGUUUCUCCUUUCUGACAAGCCAUGAUGUCAUUAAUUUGGUGUUAUGGGGAGUUAGGACUGUUACUUUGAAAAAAUUAGAGUGUUUAAAGCAGGCAUUAGCUUGAAUACAUUAGCAUGGAAUAAUGAAAUAGGACGUUCGAUCCUAUUUUGUUGGUUUCUAGGAUCAACGUAAUGAUUAAUAGGGAUAGUUGGGGGCAUUAGUAUUCAAUUGUCAGAGGUGAAAUUCUUGGAUUUAUUGAAGACUAACUACUGCGAAAGCAUUUGCCAAGGAUGUUUUCAUUAAUCAAGAACGAAAGUUAGGGGAUCGAAGACGAUCAGAUACCGUCGUAGUCUUAACCAUAAACUAUGCCGACUAGGGAUCGGAUGAUGUUAAUUUUUUAAUGACUCAUUCGGCGCCUUACG